ACGGAGGGUGCAAGCGUUAAUCGGAAUUACUGGGCGUAAAGCGUGCGCAGGCGGUUUGUUAAGUCUGUUGUGAAAUCCCCGAGCUCAACUUGGGAAUUGCAAUGGAUACUGGCAGGCUGGAGUACGGUAGAGGAAGGUGGAAUUCCCGGUGUAGCAGUGAAAUGCGUAGAGAUCGGGAGGAACACCGGUGGCGAAGGUGGGUCUCUGGGCCGAUACUGACGCUGAGGAGCGAAAGCGUGGGGAGCGAACAGGA
rnacentral:rRNA from 1 species